AUUUACUAAUUCAUAGGCUCAUUUUAAGCGAUUUAUAUUUGUAAUUACCAUUUAUGUAAUUUAUUUGGAUUUUCCCCUCUGAGAUACUAUUGUCUUGUUCAUAUGCAAUUAUUGUAUUGAAAUAUUUUGCCAUGGAAUAUUUUCUCAUUAUUACUUGUUUACUUACUCUAGCUUUGCAGGUUUUUUUCACUAAUAUCAAGAUAAAGAAUUUGUCUGGCAUGGUCGCUUUAAUACGAAAGAUCGUGUUAAUUUGGUCGAUGCACAAUUGCAGAAGAUAAAUAAUUUUUCUGGCAUGUUAGCUUCAAUAAUAAGGAAUUUGACAGAAGCUAUAUUGCUGAAGAUGCCUACGGUUCAGCAGCUUAUGAUGAUUUACCUUCAGCAGCUUAUGAUGUCUAUGGUUUACUGGAUUUGGUUCAGAUGGAAGAGAUCCAGGCUUAGGAAGGUAUAUAUUAUUGGUCACUUGAAAAUAUUUGGAUAUCAAUUUCUUC